rnacentral:rRNA from 1 species
AUUGAACGCUGGCGGCAGGCCUAACACAUGCAAGUCGAGCGGUAGAGAGAAGCUUGCUUCUCUUGAGAGCGGCGGACGGGUGAGUAAUGCCUAGGAAUCUGCCUGGUAGUGGGGGAUAACGUUCGGAAACGGACGCUAAUACCGCAUACGUCCUACGGGAAAAAGCAGGGGACCUUCGGGCCUUGCGCUAUCAGAUGAGCCUAGGUCGGAUUAGCUAGUUGGUGGGGUAAUGGCUCACCAAGGCGACGAUCCGUAACUGGUCUGAGAGGAUGAUCAGUCACACUGGAACUGAGACACGGUCCAGACUCCUACGGGAGGCAGCAGUGGGGAAUAUUGGACAAUGGGCGAAAGCCUGAUCCAGCCAUGCCGCGUGUGUGAAGAAGGUCUUCGGAUUGUAAAGCACUUUAAGUUGGGAGGAAGGGCAGUAAAUUAAUACGUUGCUGUUUUGACGUUACCGACAGAAUAAGCACCGGCUAACUCCGUG